CGCGGGGCGGGGGAUGGAGCCCGGGGGCCCCCAGGCGGGGCUGAGAGGCUUUGAAGAGGCCGUUGCUGAGCUGUCCCAGGAGCUGGGAAGACUGGCCCAGAACCUGCAGGCGCUGACCCAGUACCAGGCCACCCUCCUCAGUGUCAACAAGAGCCUGUGCUCAUGGAUGGAGAACAUCAAUGAAUUAUCCAAGCAUCGGAAACGUCUUCCCACAUUUGCAGCCCCUGGAAAGUGAGCUGGGAAUUGUCUGGUAGAUUGCACAGUGCCCAUAGCAGAGAAUGUCUGAACUUAUGUUGGUCCCUGUGAUAAGGGAAGGGAGCAAAUCCCCCUUUGAGUCUUCAGUGAGCCCUGUGGAAACUGUUAUUGGCUGAAUAAACAGAACAAUACCCC